GCUGGGCACAGUGGUGUGCACCUGUAGUCCUAGCUACUUGGGAGGCUGAGGCAGGAGGAUUGCCUGAGCCCAGGAGUUCGAGGCUGUAGUGCGCCAUGAUUGUGUCUGUGAAUAGCUGUUGUACUCUUGCCUGGGCAACAUAAUGAGACUCUGUCUCUU
rnacentral:SRP_RNA from 2 species